GGUUAGCUGCGUAUGUGACCUUUGAGCGUGGCAUCUCGGUAAGCCCUGGUGUCUUUCUCUGCAAACACAUCGGAAGAUCUCUCCUCCAUAGAGAUGCAGAGAAGAGCAACAAUGCAGCCUGUGCACACGGGGGCCACAUCAUGCUUGGCAAAUAGUGACAUCAUGUUCAGAAGAAGGAUUAUUGGCUAAGGCUGUGGCUAAAGGGUAGAACAUUUGCCUAGCUCGUGCAAGACCCAGUCCCUGUUCCAACCAACCAACCAACCAACCAACCAACCAACCAACCAACCAACCAACCAACCAACCAACACUUUGUCAGGUGACUCUCUUAAAUACCCAAAACCCCUAUAGUAUUGAAUAGAAGCAACCCCGGGGCAGGACUUACUUAAUGGCGUAGUUGCAGACCAGGUACACAGCCUGCUGCCAGGUGCUGCCCCACACGUUGAUGCUGCUGCAGGUGUGAAUAGCGCAUCCCAGCCGACUGGAGGAGGCCCACACCAUCUGCAGAAGCAAAGAGUCAGGCAAGCUGAGACUCGAAGGAGCCCUGGGCAGCAACGGACCCCAUUCCAACCAAGACUUCACAAGAUCUACCACAGAACGGUACCUAGGGAGGCCAAGAACAUGGAAGAAGGUGAUGGAGGAUGGAAAAGUCACUCUGUCACCAACUUGUUUGGUGAAUCACUUCAUUUCUCCAUCACGUUCUCCAUCUGUAAAAUGAUAGAAUGUACAUGGUCAUACUUACCUCAUGGUUCUGUUCUGAAGAACUGUGGCAAGCUCACCUGUCCCUGGCACAUAGUAAGUGCUCAAUAAAGCUGGGCAAA